AUGUUUGGCGAGGCCACGGGGCUGAGAAUAAACAGACAGAAAUCCACCGCAACCCCGAUCCGAUGUGAAGCUGCCGACAUCCUGCAGGUGCUGCAAAGUUUUGGGGGCAUUGUCACCUCUUUUCCGCUCAAAUACCUGGGGUUGCCGCUUUCCCUGACAAGAAAAAGGCUAGUGCACCUCCAGUUCAUCCUCGAUCGGGUCAGAGCAAGACUGGCAGGCUGGAAAGGCAAGCUCAUGUCUAUAGCAGGUCGGCGGGUCCUAGUUCGAGCUGUUCUGAGUGCGAUCCCAACAUUCGCCACGACUGUGCUCCGUAUGCUGAAGAAAUUCUUCAAGGAGAUCAACAAAGUAAGGCGCCGUUUCCUGUGGGCGCAGGAGGAGGAUUUAUCCGGGGGCAAAUGUAAGGUGAGCUGGACCAAGUUCUGCUCCCCGUUGGACAAAGGAGGGCUCGGUGUCCUCGAUCUCGAGCGGUUCAGCGGUGCUCUCCGGCAAAGGUGGUUGUGGCUGGCCUGGAAGCACUCGGAAAGGCUGUGGGCGGGCAUGGACGUCCCGUGCUCGGACGCGGACAAGGGGUUA
rnacentral:rRNA from 1 species